rnacentral:rRNA from 1 species
AUUGAACGCUGGCGGCAUGCCUUACACAUGCAAGUCGAACGGCAGCACGGGAGCUUGCUCCUGGUGGCGAGUGGCGAACGGGUGAGUAAUAUAUCGGAACGUACCCUAGAGUGGGGAGUAACGCAGCGAAAGACUACGCUAAUACCGCAUACGAUCUAUGGAUGAAAGACGGGGGAGUCGCAAGACCUCGCGCGAUUGGAGCGGCCGAUAUCAGAUUAGGUAGUUGGUGAGGUAAAGGGACUCACCAAGCCGACGAUCUGUAGCUGGUCUGAGAGGACGACCAGCCACACU